rnacentral:lncRNA from 1 species
AAACAAGUUACCCCAAUGAUGAUUGUGGCCAAGUUUAGUUUAAUUUGGCCCAGUAGUUUCAGAGAAGAAGAUUUUUGUAAAAGAUUACUAAGAUUUACGAAAAAAUGGUUAAAAAUUGACUAUAAAGGGCAAUAACUCCUUCAGGGGUCAACUGACCAUUUUGGUCAUGCUGACUUAUUUGUAAAUCUUACUUUGCUGAACAUUAUUGCUGUUUAUCUAUAAUAAUAUUCAAGAUAAUAACCAAAAACAGCAAAAUUUCCUUAAAAUUACCAAUUCAGGGGCAGCAACCCAACAACAGGUUGUCCGAUUCAUCUGAAAAUUUCAGGACAGAUAGAUCUUGACCUGAUAAACACUUUUACCGCAUGUCAGAUUUGCUCUAAAUGCUUUGGUUUUUGAGUUAUAAGCCAAAAACUGCAUUUUACCCCUAUGUUCUAUUUUUAGCCAUGGCGGCCAUCUUGGUUGGUUGGCCGGGUCACGCCACACAUUUUUUAAACUAGAUAUCCCAAAGAUGAUUGUGGCCAAGUUUGGAUUAAAUUUGGCACAGUAGUUUCAGAGGAGAAGAUUUUUGUAAAAGAUUACUAAGGUUUACGAAAAAUGGUUAAAAAUUGACUAUAAAGGUCAAUAACUCCUAAAGGGGUCAACUGACCAUUUUGGUCAUGUUGACUUAUUUGUAAAUCUUACUUUGCUGAACAUUAUUGCUGUAUACAGUUUAUCUCUAUC